rnacentral:lncRNA from 1 species
UGCCCCUGGUGACAGUUUGUUUGGGUAAUUGCUUUAUCGAAAACAGAAAGUCUAUUAAAUAUUUUAAUGAUCAGGCGUGUUUGAGCUGGCUUUUCUGUCUUUAAAACGUAUAAUAUUUGAUACAUAAUCUCACUUCAGAUUCUAUAAUUUCAUAUCAUAUAAGUUAUCUAAAGCUUGAUAAAAAGACAAGAUAAUGACCAGCCUUAGCGUUUUUGUUUACGUCCGAUUUGU